GCGCGCAAAUUACCCAAUCCCGACACGGGGAGGUAGUGACAAUAAAUACUGAUACAGGGCUCUUUUGAGUCUUGUAAUUGGAAUGAGUACAAUUUAAAUCCCUUAACGAGGAACAAUUGGAGGGCAAGUCUGGUGC
rnacentral:rRNA from 1 species